GCUAUAACGUGACCGUGACC
rnacentral:misc_RNA from 1 species